CAAUAGCGUAUAUUAAAGUUGUUGCAGUUAAAAAGCUCGUAGUUGAAUUUUUGCUUGCCGCCGAUGUCGGAACUUCCGUACGUUCGGCGGCGUGCAUCCUUGGGUGGAACCUGUGUGGCAUUAGGUUGUCGUGCAGGGGAUGCUCAUCGUUUACUGUGAAAAAAUUAGAGUGUUCAAAGCAGGCUUACGCCGUUGAAUAUAUUAGCAUGGAAUAAUAAGAUAGGACUUUGGUACUAUUUUGUUGGUUUGCGCACCAAAGUAAUGAUUAAUAGGGACAGUUGGGGGUAUUCGUAUUCCGUUGUCAGAGGUGAAAUUCUUGGAUUUACGGAAGACGAACUACUGCGAAAGCAUUUACCAAGGAUGUUUUCAUUAA
rnacentral:rRNA from 1 species